CCUACGGGAGGCAGCAGUGAGGAAUAUUGGUCAAUGGACGGAAGUCUGAACCAGCCAUGCCGCGUGCAGGAAGACGGCUCUAUGAGUUGUAAACUGCUUUUGUACAAGGGUAAACCUGAAUACGUGUAUUCAGCUGAAAGUACUGUACGAAUAAGGAUCGGCUAACUCCGUGCCAGCAGCCGCGGUAAUUAGGAGGUGGCAAGCGUUAUCCGGAUUUAUUGGGUGUAAAGGGCGUGUAGGCGGGAGCGCAAGUCAGAUGUGAAAACUCAGGGCUCAACCCUGAGCCUGCAUUUGAAACUGUGUUUCGUGAGUGCUGGAGAGGCAAUCGGAAUUCCGAGUGUAGCGGUGAAAUGCGUAGAUAUUCGGAGGAACACCGGUGGCGAAGGCGGCCAACUGGGCUUUAACUGACGCUGAGGCUCGAAAGUGUGGGGAGCAAACAGGAUUAGAUACCCCUGUAGUC
rnacentral:rRNA from 1 species